GACGAACGCUGGCGGCGUGCUUAACACAUGCAAGUCGAACGGUAAGGCCCUUCGGGGUACACGAGUGGCGAACGGGUGAGUAACACGUGGGUAAUCUGACCUGCACAUCGGGAUAAGCAUGGGAAACUGGGUCUAAUACCGAAUCGGACCACAGGACACAUGUCCUGUGGUGGAAAGCUUUUGCGGCGUGGGAUGGGCCCGCGGCCUAUCAGCUUGUUGGUGGGGUGAUGGCCUACCAAGGCGACGACGGGUAGCCGGCCUGAGAGGGUGUCGGGCCACACUGGGACUGAGAUACGGCCCAGACUCCUGCGGGAGGCAGCAGUGGGGAAUAUUGCACGAUAGGCUAAAGCCUGGUGCGGCGACGCCGCGUGGGAGAUGACGGCCUUCGGGUUGUAAACCUCGUUCUCCAUCGACGAAGGUCCGGGUUUUCUCGGGCUGACGGUAGGUGGAAAAGAAGCACCGGCCAACUACGUG
rnacentral:rRNA from 1 species